rnacentral:rRNA from 1 species
GGGUGCGAUCAUACCAGCACUAAUGCACCGGAUCCCAUCAGAACUCCGCAGUGAAGCGUGCUUGGGCGAGAGUAGUACUAGGAUGGGUGACCACCUGGGAAGUCCUCGUGUUGCAC